GGAACUUCUAUUUGUCACCCAAACCUCUUUUAUGUUCAUCCCUGAGUUGCAUCAGCACAAUUAAGGAAAAGUGAACUUUUAAGAUGGAAAACCACAAAAAUCUUAACCUCCAAAAAUAGAAACCUGACAUUCUUUCCCUAAAUAAACUGCUUGUAUCCAAAUUAGAAGUAGUUUUGCCACUGCUAUAAUAACUACUACUAGUACUUCCAUUAGCAGUCACAGGAGGCAACCAAUCCGAUGAUGUAGGCAAUGGACAAAGAUGGUGGCAAAUACACACAAACUGUGUCAUUUAAACUGAUUUUUCCUAAAACGGCUGACUUUUCAAACAGUUUUUUUGUUUUUAGCGUGUGUCAUAAUAACCUCCAUAUUGCCACUGUGUGGGUUUAUAUUGUUGUUUCAUGUCUCCUUUACAACUCCUUUAAAAACUCAUUUUCAUUAGUGUGCUUUUACUUUGAACGUACUUUACUAACUUCUAAUUUGGUUUGAGUUUUAUCUUUUAUUGAAUUCUAAAUAAUUUCUGUCGGCUCAUUUUUGCAACACUUCUCAACUGUGCAUUGUCCCAGGCUGGUUUCAGAGUGGGAACAUAAUGACAGUUAUCAGGCUUGGAAUUGAGUGCUGUCUAAGGAGAUACUGGACCUCCAGGGAAAAGUGGAGCAACAUCCUGUCCUGCAUUAUUUGCAUUGACAGCAAAGUGUUUUGAGAGCAUAGUUGAACUGCUGAUCCUUACCAAGUAACUUAAAACAUGAGCGGUUGUCAAAUUGCGACUAUAUCCAAAGUUUAAAUGCUUUAGCAUCAGGGUCCAGCUCAUACUACAAGGUAUUUAAUGAUAAUAGAUGAUAACAGUUUUCAAAUAUUGGAUUUAUACCCUCUCUCUCUUCCUCUCUCUGUGAGCUGCUCUCUAACCCGGCCUGACUCCAGGGUCUCCUCUGAUGGAGGAUCUGUUCUGCAGAGGAAGUGGUCCAUGUCCGCCCACAUCUUUCUCACGCAGCCCCUCUUUGGUUGGCUGGGUCAUCGGGGGUCGGCGCCCCUCUGCCAGCUGCCAUCAUUCACGGAUGAGUCCACAGAGAGAGACCGCUAACACGAUGAGAGUCCAACACGUGUCCUUCAGAUGUGAGCGUUUGCACAUGCUCAGAUAUUCUCCAGAGAGGAGAUGCACCAUUCACUCUGAUUAGACAGUAAUCAAUGUAAACUCAUCAAUAAAAACUGAGCAGCCUCCUAGUGAAGACCCUCUCAGACAGUCUGCGGAUCAUUUACCUGAUAACCUGGAUCACUGGUGUCCUCAUGGGCCUGCUUUGAAGCUGAGGUUUGUCAUGACUGUGUUAAGCCAUUUCAUUAUUCAAAUCAAGGUGUAAGAUGACUCCCCAGAUUUCAUCUUUGUGUCUUGAUGCUGCAUCUGCAGGAUAUGGACAAACUUGUUGGUGUGUCUUUGGGCCCGUCUUACUUAAGUUGUGUGUGUGUUAAAAUGUGUAAACAAACAAACAAACAAGCUGAUCUACCAAGUGCACUGAGGUGACCGUCUGUGAAAUCAGCUAGAUGACACUGUGUGAUUUUUUUCAGGUUUGAACAUAAUUUCUUUGAUUGUGACAGUAUCAUUUGAGAAAAGGUGCUAAUCCAGGCAUACAGUGUUGCUCACAGAUGGCUGCUGUUUAUGUGGCAGGAGGAGGCAGAAUUAUAGAAACACAUCAGUCUGAUUUAAAGUCCUUCCUCAUGAGUUCACAAAGCUCUAUCAGUGCAUAGAAGAUGGAAAGCCUUCACCUUAUCUUAUUCUUAUUCUAGCUUUAGAACUAGCCCCUGUAACUGGAUAAUAAUCAUUUAUAUUAUUUAAACGAGUAUCUCUAAGUUGGUGUCGUCCAGACAAAAGUAGGGGAGGUUGGUGUGAUUGCAGCAGGGGGAGGGUUUCGGAAAAGCCUCUUGAUCACCCAAAUCUAAAAGGUAAAUCAGGGAGCAUGAUCCACCCUCAGUGAUAACGUUUUCCCAAUGCAUUUUUUUUAAACUUCCAAUACAAUACCGAUAUUGUAGUGUUGGCGGAUACUGAUAUUGAUCUGAUAUUGGCACAAACUUGUGCUGCAGCAUCUUUUUUGGACUUAAACAAAAAAACUGCCACACGGCUAACAUCACUCCUACUCCUUGCUACUUUGUUUGUACCUGAGUACACACUGUUGUUGUGAUCAUGUGGGCACUGCAUGCUGGACCUGGGCGCUGCUUGCAUGCUGAUGAAGGUACCAGAUGUGCUCGGGCUGCUAGUUUGGCUCGUGGCCUGGCGCCUGUUGAUGACGCCACGCUAUUUGAUGGGCUAGAAGUUGGUUGGAUGACGUAGAAGAUUGUGGUUGGUCCAGAAAAAUUAUGGAAGCAGUUUUUGUGGGAAUAGGUUUCAUGGGAUUCUAGUUCUUCAGAGAAAAUAUGGACAAAUUUUACGAAGCAAUCUUUUUGUACUUCUCAAAGGGAACUUAAGACAGCUGGAAUAGGUUUCAUGGGAUUCUAGUUCUUCGGAGAAAAUAUGGACAAAUUUUAUGAAGCAAUCUUUUUGUACUUCUCAAAGGGAACUUAAGACAGCUGGACUCCCACCUCUUUUAGGUUUCCAAAGGAUAUGUGGAAUAAAAGCAAAACCAUCUAUUGAUAAACAGAGAUCCUGCAUACAUCUUUUUUUUUCUUUUCCUUUAGAAAAUUUAACAUAUAUAAUAAAAGCCACCUAAAAAUUACAGUAAGUUAUAAUUCUCUGUAUUAUAUGGAGACAAAGGUUAACUGAAUGAACAAACAGAAAUAAAAUAAAAAAAACCCACAAAAGCUUUUGACUUAUUAAAUGGAAUGCAAUGUAGUUUGUCCAAGUGGACUUGCAGUAGUGUGAUGUCUUUAAUGGGCACUGGGCCCUGAGCACAUCUGGUACCUAAUAAAUAAAUAGUUUGUGAUAAAGUUGACAUCAUAAGUAAAAUAUGACCACUUUAUGACAGAUUUUGAGUUUGUAGUGUAAUCAUAAGGAGAAGAGAGCUUUAACUUCUAAAUGAUUCAUUCUUUUAGCUUUACCAUAAUAGGAUAAAACGUUUCUGACAAUGUUUUUCAUCAUUUUCAGAUUUCAUUUUUAUCUGGUGCACUCAUCAUUACUGAUUCAAAUUGUCCUCAGUUCGCCACUGUAAUGAGAAUCCUUGUCUCUUUUUUUGUACAAAUCCCAAUAAUAAGGAAGUUGGGACUUUAAAAAUGUGAGAUCAUCUCAGCCUAUAUUCAAUUGAAUACACUGCAAAUAAUGUUCAAACUGAGAUACUUGUAUUUUUAUUUUUAUUUUUUACUCUUUGAAGGUUUUUAAAAAACCUUCAGAGUUUUGAUUUUGGCUGUGUUAUUAGUGUUUUUUGCAUGUUGCAAGUUUUGCAGGAGUGCACAUAGAUUGGGUAUUUAUUUAUAUUUAUUGCUAUCAGUUUUUUAAUUUAUGAUUGUUAUUAUUUUUUUAUUUCAUUUAUUUAUUUAUUUAUUUUACCUAAUAGUCAUUUAUUUCUGGCUGUUCUUUUAAGUUAUAUUUAAAGUUAAAUUUUGGUGGGUCAAAAAAUACUCAAGUUUUGAAUGAAUAAUUGUGUUUAUUAAUCAUGAUUUCAAUAUCAGCUGAAAUAAUUGUGAUUAUUAUUUUUGUCAUAAUCGUCCAGCCCUUACAUGUGUGGAGCAUUAUGACGAGCAAAAUAACUGAGACUCUGGACUGAAGAUCAGCUGAAUUGGUCCAUCAAUCAAGACUGUGAAAAAAUUUAGGCGAUGAAACACAGACCCUUACCAAAGUUUUUUAGGAAUGAGCUGUAGACAUCAAAUUCAAAAUGAGUGAAAAUUGACAGAAAUGCAGUCAAGUGUAUCAGUUUGAACACCAAAUAUCUUCGUAGUGCAUUCAGUUGAAUGUAAGUGAAAGGGGAUUUGAAAAUCACUGUUUUCUGUUUUUAUUUGCGUUUUACACAAAAUCUGAACUUCACUGGAAUUGGGGUUUAAAAAUUAUAACCCUUGUGUUCCUGCUGUCCUGAUAUUAUUCUGUGUUUUUAGCCUUUCCAGUUUUACUUUGUAGAACUUAAAGGGGGGGUAUCAUAUAUAUAAAUACAUACAGUAUAAACAUCUUUUUUACUUUUAGGUCUUUUUUACUGACUGUCACACCCCCAUACUAAAUAUCACUCACUGAUUGGAUGUUGCAGCACACUGGACUUCACUGACACUUCACAUCAUUGGAGUUUAAAACAGUCACUAGUUGUGAUGAUUUUUGGUGCAUUAAGGCUGCUGUCCUGUAUAUUAUACAUAUUAUAUGUAUUAUUAUUUUUCAUGUGCAGAUAUUUUUGAAACACGGUUAUUUCAUUACACUUUUAACAAUGUAUGCGUGGACAAAAACAGCUGUUACAGAUUACUGACAGCAGACCCAGCGAUGAUCAGUUUACGCCAACAUCACAAACAGGCAUCAUUUUAUGUGACAUGUUGGAGGAAAGGAUAUCUCUUUCCCUUGUUGUAAACUUCUAAACUCACAAAAAACAACCCGCUCCCUCUGCUCGCUCCUCUUACUUAAACCUCCUUUCUACCCCCAGAACCAGACUCAGGACCAUGGGAGAUAGGGCCUUCUGUGCUGCUGCCCCCCGUCUGUGAAACGCCCUCCCUGACACCUUGAGGGCACCACAAUCCACUGACUGUUUUAAAAAGGACUUAAGACAUUCCUUCUUAGCAAAACUCUUUGGUUCCCCCUUUUAGAUUCUUUCCUUUUUUUUUUUUUUUUUUUUUUUUACUUUUUAUGUCCUUUUAAACUGUUUAUAUUGUUUUUAUUUUUUAAUGAGAGGUCUUUCUUGUUUUACCCUAUAUCCUGUUUUUAUUAUCCCUUUAUUGUGAUGUUUCUUGAUUUUUAACAUGCAGCCCUUGGAGAUCCUUGGAUGUAAAGGGCACUAUACAAAUUCAAUGUAUUAUUAUUUGUUUUUUGUUGGCUCUCUCUCCUCAUUUCCUUGCAUCUUUUUCUCACCUAUGGUGGGCAGAGCUAAGACACAAGUGGACAACAACAAAACUUUUUGUCAGGAAAAAGUGCUUUGAUAAGAACCUGCACUUAUAGCUGUCUGUUUGCUGAGAGGUGAGGUGGAUGUAACUCUGAACACCUUCCCCCAUCAGCCUGAUCAGUCAGUCACAUGGAGUUUUGUGGCUUUACACUGAAUCUCUGUCUCUGACUCUUUAAAAGAAGAUGGUCAUAUAUUUAGUUCAGUAAAAGUCAGUAAGCAAAGGUGAAGGAUUCAGUCUAAGGAGGUUUUACUGGAAAAGCUGAUAUUUGGAGCAUAAACUCAGUUUAAGGUUUGUAGGUUAAAGGUUUAAAAUUCUAACUAUGUUAAGUCUGACCUGUGAGCUGAACUUUGGACAGAACCAGGAGAGUAGAGCACAUCUCCCCUGUAUAUUCUCCUCUACACUAGCUUCCCAUAAAAUUUAGGGUUACAUUUUUCCAUAAAGCAGCUGAUAGAAAUGGUGUCACAGCUUUGAUAGCUGCUCUCAACCCUUAUUAAAAAAAAC